GACGAACGCUGGCGGCGUGCUUAACACAUGCAAGUCGAACGCUGAAGCUCAGCUUUUGUUGGGUGGAUGAGUGGCGAGCGGGUGAGUAACACGUGAGUAACCUGCCCCCUUCUUUGGGAUAACGCCCGGAAACGGGUGCUAAUACUGGAUAUUCACUGGUCUUCGCAUGGGGGUUGGUGGAAAGGGUUUUUCUGGUGGGGGAUGGGCUCGCGGCCUAUCAGCUUGUUGGUGGGGUGAUGGCCUACCAAGGCUUUGACGGGUAGCCGGCCUGAGAGGGUGACCGGCCACAUUGGGACUGAGACACGGCCCAGACUCCUACGGGAGGCAGCAGUGGGGAAUAUUGCACAAUGGGCGCAAGCCUGAUGCAGCGACGCCGCGUGAGGGAUGGAGGCCUUCGGGUUGUGAACCUCUUUCGCUCAUGGUCAAGCCGCAACAAUGGUUGUGGUGAGGGUAGUGGGUAAAGAAGCGCCGGCUAACUACGUG
rnacentral:rRNA from 1 species